GGGCCCGUAGCUCAGUUGGUCAGAGCGGCAGUCUUAUAAGCUGUAGGUCGAGAGUUCAAAUCUCUCCGGGCCCA
rnacentral:tRNA from 1 species